AUCCAGCUGACGAGUCCCAAACAGGACGAAACGCUCGUCCUGGAU
rfam:Schistosoma margrebowiei strain Zambia genome assembly, scaffold: SMRZ_contig0000366